rnacentral:rRNA from 1 species
GAUGAACGCUGGCGGCGUGCCUAAUACAUGAAAGUCGAGCGAAGCGGGGACGGGUGAGUAACACGUGGAUAACCUCCUAUAAGACUGGGCUAACUUCGGGAAACCGGAGCUAAACCGGAUACUUAUAGAUGGAUCCGCUCUGCAUUAGCUAGUUGGUAAGGUAACGGCUUACCAAGGCAACGAUGCAUAGCCGAACUGAGAGGGUGAUCAGACACACUGGAACUGAGCCGCGUUCCAGACCCCUACGGGUGGGAACAGUAAGGAAUCUUCGGAAAUGGGCGCAGGCCUGACGAAGCAUCGACGCGUGUGUGAAGAGUGUCUUCGGGUCGUAAAGCGCUGUUAUUAGUUGAGAGGGACUUAAUCAGGAAGCCACGGCUAACUACGUGCCAGCAGCCGCGGUAAUUC